GCCUGGCCACCUGCAGCGCUGUCCUACUUCUGCUACUCCCCGGUCCUGUGCGAGAUGGGUGCGCACCUCCUCCUGCUGCUGCUGCUGGGCCUCUCCUUGCUUUAGGGCUCCCUGCGAGCUCCAGCCACAUUGUGUAUGGUCUGCAAGAUUUUUAAGAAUGGCAAAUGUAUGGAAGGCAAUGGCAACUGCACCGUGGAGGAAGGCCGUGGAUGCAGAACCAGGGACCUCUACUUUUUCAAUGAGAGAGGUAAUGCUGUUGAGCCAGGCUCUACUGCCUUGAGCUGACACCUGACUUCGGACACUGUGCAGGGAGGUUCUCCAGUCUGAUGGAACCCUUGCUGGGAAGGAUGGAUGGAGCUACAACCACACUGAAUUGGACUGUUCUAAUCAGUGUAAGGCUUGGAAGUUGUUUCAUGGGGGCCUGAAGGUUUCAAGCUUUUGCUGUAAAGGUCAAGAUUUCUGCAAUAGGUUUCGAGGAAAAUCGCUGGAGUGGAAAUCUCACUAACUGCUAAUUCCUUUGUCAGUUGUGGUGUCCACUCACCUUCUCCUUCCCCUGGCACCUCUGGUCCUGUCACCCCCUACAUGUGCUCCGAAAGUGCAUGCAGCGUCCUCCUAUCUCCUCCAUGUUUCCUUCCGCAUAUCUCUCCUGGCCACUGGCUCCUUCCCCGUGACACCAAACACUCUGAGCUCACCCUUGUUUCAGGUCUCUGCUUCACACACAUCUGCAAAUUACCAUCAGCCCUCUUCACCUUGCAUUUCCUCGUGCCUUAAAAUCACCACAUAUCUCUGCCUGACUGGCUGCCUGGUUUCUAAUCGCACCAACUUGGAUGUGACUGCAAUGUGCCCAGAAAAGGAAUGGGUUCUAUUUUAUACAUCAGGAUUUUGAGUGGUCAGUGGAAAACUCAGGAAAAUGUGUUCAACUGGCGGAUGGACAACAAGGCUUCAAAGUCCAAGAAGGUUCCAAAGCCUGAGGCAAAAGAUAAGAUCAUUGGCUUUAUAUGCUACAUACAUACUCAGAAUCUCCUGGAAGCUUACGUUAUGAGACUUAAAGAGGUUGUCCAAUGAGAGAAGAUGGGAACAAGGGUAGAUGAAUCAUAAACACUACAGACCAUCAAAAUAAAAAGUGUGUGAAGGUCCUUCUACAAAAUGAUUCAUGGGUGAUGGUCACAGAAGUAGAUGGGGAGCCAGAUGGAAGGGCAUCAGUAUCUGUUUUCUGUGACAACUUGCAGGUUAUUGGCCGAGCAGGAUCAAUGAAGUGGCACAGAAGCCACAUUACUGUGGGUUGAGGAAUGAGUGGACUAUGACAGGAGGGAGUAGUGCGUAUGGGCAAGUCUUCCACGCAGUUAGGGAAAAAUUGAGAAAGUGGAAUAGUAUCUUUUGUAAGAAUAGUGAGUUUAAUACGUUUUUAGGCAAAGGAAGUUUUAUGUCUUCUCUUUAGUGUAAAAUACCUAUCUUAUUAUGACUAUAGUAAUAGCUGUCACCAUCAUCUCAUCUUUCUCAAUGUAUAUUUUUAAACUUUUAUCACCACUUCUAUAUGUAUUUUUUGUGUUCUUUUGACCCCUCUCUUUUCCCCUUUAUAUUACACUUCUUUUGUCCUUAUCUCCUCCAUUCUGUUUCCCUAACCAGUCAUGAUGCUAAAAUGGAGAAUAUUAUUAUCAUGUUAAAUUACUUAUUUAAUAUAAUCUUACAUUUCUCAUUUACAAAUUAAAAGAAAGUAAGAGGA